ACGGCUCAGUAACACGUUGAUAACCUACCUUAUGAUUCAGGAUAACCUCGGGAAACUGAGGACAAGACUGGAUAGGAGUGGAUGUCUGGAAUGAUUCUACUCUGAAACGCAAGGUCGUAAGAUGGGUCAGCGGCGGAUUAGGUUGUUGGCGGGGUAAAGGCCCACCAAGCCAAAGAUCCGUAGGGGCCGUGAGAGCGGGAGCCCCGAGAAGGAAACUGAGAUACUGUUCCUAGCCCCACGGGGUGCAGCAGGCGCGAAAAUUCUACAAUGCACGCAAGUGUGAUAGAGGGACCCUAAGUGCUCUACUACGUAGGGCUUUUGCCAAGUGUAAAUAGCUUGGAGAAUAAGUGGUGGGUAAGACUGGUGCCAGCAGCCGCGGUAAUA
rnacentral:rRNA from 1 species